rnacentral:rRNA from 1 species
UACAGAGGUCCCAAGCGUUGUUCGGAUUCACUGGGCGUAAAGGGUGCGUAGGUGGCUUGGAAAGUUUGAUGUGAAAGCUCAGGGCUCAACCCUGAAAUGGCAUUGAAUACUAUCGAGCUGGAGGUUUGGAGGGGGGACUGGAAUUCUUGGUGUAGCAGUGAAAUGCGUAGAUAUCAAGAGGAACACCAGUGGCGAAGGCGAGUCCCUGGACAACACCUGACACUGAGGCACGAAAGCCGGGGGAGCGAACGGG